CAGUCGAGCGCCCCGCAAGGGGAGCGGCGGACGGGUGAGUAACGCGUGGGAACGUACCCUUUGCUACGGAAUAGCCUCGGGAAACUGGGAGUAAUACCGUAUGUGCCCUUCGGGGGAAAGAUUUAUCGGCAAGGGAUCGGCCCGCGUUGGAUUAGGUAGUUGGUGGGGUAAUGGCCUACCAAGCCGACGAUCCAUAGCUGGUUUGAGAGGAUGAUCAGCCACACUGGGACUGAGACACGGCCCAGACUCCUACGGGAGGCAGCAGUGGAGAAUCUUAGACAAUGGGCGCAAGCCUGAUCUAGCCAUGCCGCGUGAGCGAUGAAGGCCUUAGGGUUGUAAAGCUCUUUCAGGGGGGAAGAUAAUGACUGUACCCCCAGAAGAAGCCCCGGCUAACUCCGUGCCAGCAGCCGCGGUAAUACGGAGGGGGCUAGCGUUGUUCGGAAUUACUGGGCGUAAAGCGCACGUAGGCGGACGAGAAAGUCAGAGGUGAAAUCCCAGGGCUCAACCUUGGAACUGCCUUUGAAACUUCUUGUCUUGAGGUCGAGAGAGGUGAGUGGAAUUCCGAGUGUAGAGGUGAAAUUCGUAGAUAUUCGGAGGAACACCAGUGGCGAAGGCGGCUCACUGGCUCGAUACUGACGCUGAG
rnacentral:rRNA from 1 species